GGCUCCAUCGGCGAAGAGGGGAGUAACACGUGGGUGAUCUGCCUUGCCCUUCCGGAUAAGCCUGGUAAACUGGGUCUAAUACCGGAUAUGACCCCUGAUCGCAUGGUUGGUGGUGGAAAGAUUUUUCGGUGCUGGAUGGGCCCGCGGCCUAUCAGCUUGUUGGUGAGGUAACGGCUCACCAGCGCGACGACGGGUAGCCGACCUGAGAGGGUGACCGGCCACACUGGGACUGAAACACGGACCAAACUCCUACAGGAGGCAGCAGUGGGGAAUAUUGCAAUAUGGGCGAAAGCCUGAUGCAGCGACCCCGCGUGCGGGAUGACGGCCUUCGGGUUGUAAACCUCUUUUGACAUGGACGAAGCGCAAGUGACUGUACCUGUAGAAUAAGGACCGGCCAACUACGUGCCAACAACCGCGGUAAUACGUAUGGUCCGAGCGUUGUCCGGAAUUACUGGGCGUAAAGAGCUUGUAGGCAGUUCGUCGCGUCAUUUGUGAAAACUUGGGGCUCAACCUUAAGCUUGCAGGCGAUACGGGCCAACUAGAGUACUUCAGGGGAGACUGGAAUUCCUGGUGUAGCGGUGAAAUGCGCAAAUAUCAGGAGGAACACCGAUGGCGAAGCGGGUCUCUGGAAAGUAACUGACGCUGAGAACCGAAAGCAUGAGUAGCAAACUGAUUAGAUA
rnacentral:rRNA from 1 species